UAAGAAUUAGUUAAAUAUAACAUAAAAUUGUCAAUUUUAAAUUAUUACUAAAUAUAAUAUUCUUUU
rnacentral:tRNA from 1 species